CACCUCUCAGGGUCACACCUGGAGAAUUUCUGGUACUCUACCAGUCUCGACUAUGGGAGGGAGAGUCAAGCAGAGGCCUAACCGUUCCAUUCCUAGCUUGGCUAGCAGUUAGCGAGUGGAAGGCCAUCUGCUACAAGG